rnacentral:rRNA from 1 species
CAGUAGCCGCGGGAAAACGUAGGGGGCAAGCGUUAUUCGGAAUUAUUGGGCGUAAAGGGCUCGCAGGCGGUUUCUUAAGUCUGAUGUGAAAGCCCCCGGCUCAACCGGGGAGGGUCAUUGGAAACUGGGAAACUUGAGUGCAGAAGAGGAGAGUGGAAUUCCACGUGUAGCGGUGAAAUGCGUAGAGAUGUGGAGGAACACCAGUGGCGAAGGCGACUCUCUGGUCUGUAACUGACGCUGAGGAGCGAAAGCGUGGGGAGCGAACAGGAUUAGAUACCCCCGUAGUCCCUGUCUCUUAUAC